rnacentral:rRNA from 1 species
UACGUAGGGUGCGAGCGUUGUCCGGAAUCACUGGGCGUAAAGCGCACGUAGGCGGCUUGUUAAGUCAGGGGUGAAAUCCUGGAGCUCAACUCCAGAACUGCCUUUGAUACUGGCGAGCUUGAGUCCGGGAGAGGUGAGUGGAACUGCGAGUGUAGAGGUGAAAUUCGUAGAUAUUCGCAAGAACACCAGUGGCGAAGGCGGCUCACUGGCCCGGUACUGACGCUGAGGUGCGAAAGCGUGGGGAGCAAACAGG